rnacentral:rRNA from 1 species
UAGGACACUCUAUACGGAGUUACAAAGGACGACAUUAGACGAAUCAUCUGGAAAGAUGAAUCAAAGAAGGUAAUAAUCCUGUAGUCGAAAAUGUUGUCUCUCUUGAGUGGAUCCUGAGUACGACGGAACACGUGAAAUUCCGUCGGAAUCUGGGAGGACCAUCUCCUAAGGCUAAAUACUCUCUAGUGACCGAUAGUGAACCAGUACCGUGAGGGAAAGG